rnacentral:lncRNA from 1 species
AAGGUUAAAGGUCAGGCAGGGGUCACCCAGACAGGAGUCUCCAGGUGUGGCCCCGCCCCCAUCCAGGUGUGUCCCAGGUGUGUCCCCAAUGCCCCAGGUGUGUUUGGGUGUGUCCCAGGUGUACCCAGGUGUGUCCCCAAUGUCCCCAGGUGUCACCCAGGUGUGUUUGGGUGUGUUCAGUCUCACCUUGCAGGUGUCCCCGCCCCCGCCCAGGUGUCCGGCACACACCAUGGCCCAUCCCAGCUGUACCC